rnacentral:rRNA from 1 species
GACGAACGCUGGCGGCGUGCUUAACACAUGCAAGUCGAACGGAAAGGCCCUGCUUUUGUGGGGUGCUCGAGUGGCGAACGGGUGAGUAACACGUGAGUAACCUGCCCUUGACUUUGGGAUAACUUCAGGAAACUGGGGCUAAUACCGGAUAGGAUCUCCUGCUGCAUGGUGGGGGUUGGAAAGUUUCGGCGGUUGGGGAUGGACUCGCGGCUUAUCAGCUUGUUGGUGGGGUAGUGGCUUACCAAGGCUUUGACGGGUAGCCGGCCUGAGAGGGUGACCGGCCACCUUGGGACUGCGAUACGGACCAGACUCCUACGGGAGGCAGCAGUGGGGAAUAUUGCACAAUGGGCGGAAGCCUGAUGCAGCAACGCCGCGUGCGGGAUGACGGCCUUCGGGUUGUAAACCGCUUUCGCCUGUGACGAAGCGUGAGUGACGGUAAUGGGUAAAGAAGCACCGGCUAACUACGUG